rnacentral:rRNA from 1 species
ACACAACAGAACAUAAUAUUCGCUACCCGUCUCCGAUGUAACUACUUUCUUAUGCACAAACUUGCUUAAAUAUGGCUGAUCGAACGGGAAGCCUUGAUCCAAGUUGUUAUGACCGUUGUU